AAGCGGUGGAGCAUGUGGUUUAAUUCGAUGCAACGCGAAGAACCUUACCUACUCUUGACAUCCUAUGAAUCUGGAAGAGAUUUCGGAGUGCCGAAAGGAGCAUAGAGACAGGUGCUGCAUGGCUGUCGUCAGCUCGUGUCUUGAGAUGUUGGGUUAAGUCCCGUAACGAGCGCAACCCUUAUCCUUAGUUGCCAGCACGUAAAGGUGGGAACUCUAAGGAGACUGCCGGUGAUAAACCGGAGGAAGGUGGGGAUGAGGUCAAGUCAUCAUGGCCUUUAUGAGUAGGGCAACACACGUGCUACAAUGGGCAGUACAGAGGGAAGCCAACCCGCGAGGGGGAGCAAAACUCAGAAAGCUGUUCGUAGUCCGGAUUGGAGUCUGGAACUCGACUCCAUGAAGUCGGAAUCGCUAGUAAUCGCGGAUCAGAACGCCGCGGUGAAUACGUUCCCGGGCCUUGUACACACCGCCCGUCACACCAUGGGAGUGGGUUGUACCAGAAGUCGUUAGCUUAUCCGCAAGGGGGGCGACGACCACGGUAUGGUUCAUGACUGGGGUGAAGUCGUAACAAGGUAACCGUA
rnacentral:rRNA from 1 species